GCGUAACACGUGGGUAAUCAACCCUUCAGUACGGGACAACCGAGGGAAACCUCAGCUAAUACCGAAUACGUCCAAGAGAACCCAGGUUCUCAUGGAGAAAGACCCGCAAGGGUUGCUGAAGGACGAGCCCGCGGCCCAUCAGCUAGUUGGUGAGGUAAAAGCUCACCAAGGCUAAGACGGGUAGCUGGUCUGAGAGGAUGAUCAGCCACACUGGAACUGAGACACGGUCCAG
rnacentral:rRNA from 1 species